GAUGAACGCUAGCGGGAGGCUUAACACAUGCAAGUCGAGGGGCAGCACGAUGUAGCAAUACGUUGGUGGCGACCGGCGCACGGGUGAGUAACACGUAUGCAACCUACCCUGUACAGGGGGAUAACCCGGAGAAAUUCGGACUAAUAUCCCAUGGACCCUUAGCCCCGCAUGGGGCGGAGGGUAAAGCUCCGGCGGGAAUGGAUGGGCAUGCGUGCCAUUAGCUGGUUGGUGGGGUAACGGCCCACCAAGGCUACGAUGGCUAGGGGGUCUGGGAGGAUGAUCCCCCACACUGGUACUGAGACACGGACCAGACUCCUACGGGAGGCAGCAGUG
rnacentral:rRNA from 1 species